UACGGGGGGAGCAAGCGUUGUUCGGAUUUACUGGGCGUAAAGGGCGCGUAGGCGGCGCAACAAGUCACUUGUGAAAUCUCCGGGCUUAACCCGGAGCGGCCAAGUGAUACUGUCGUGCUAGAGUGCGGAAGGGGCUACUGGAAUUCUCGGUGUAGCGGUGAAAUGCGUAGAUAUCUGGAGGAAGACCAGUGGCGAAGGCGGGUCUCUGGACAGUUCCUGACACUGAGACACGAAGGCCAGGGGAGCAAACGGG
rnacentral:rRNA from 1 species